GAUGAACGCUGGCGGCGUGCCUAAUACAUGCAAGUCGAGCGAACGGACGUGAAGCUUGCUUCUCUGAUGUUAGCGGCGGACGGGUGAGUAACACGUGGAUAACCUACCUAUAAGACUGGGAUAACUUCGGGAAACCGGAGCUAAUACCGGAUAAUAUUUUGAACCGCAUGGUUCAAAAGUGAAAGACGGUCUUGCUGUCACUUAUAGAUGGAUCCGCGCUGCAUUAGCUAGUUGGUAAGGUAACGGCUUACCAAGGCAACGAUGCAUAGCCGACCUGAGAGGGUGAUCGGCCACACUGGAACUGAGACACGGUCCAGACUCCUACGAGAGGCAGCAGUAGGGAAUCUUCCGCAAUGGGCGAAAGCUUGACGGAGCAACGCCGCGUGAGUGAUGAAGGUCUUCGGAUCGUAAAACUCUGUUAUUAGGGAAGAACAUAUGUGUAAGUAACUGUGCACAUCUUGACGGUACCUAAUCAGAAAGCCACGGCUAACUACGUG
rnacentral:rRNA from 1 species